AGCAAAAAAGUUGCUACGAAAUGACCCCCCGAAUUCGCCAUAUGUCAAAUUCUUUUCAGCCGUCAGUUCUUUUUCGUUCUUCAUCGAAGGUGUCCAUUCGUCCCAGCCAUGCAGUCAAAGAUCCUUCUCUUCGCUUUUCUGCUUCUUGUGUGCGCGAUCCACGUACACGAAGCUAAGGAUCCGCGUUGCAACCAACCGCCUCCAUGGAGGACCCCGUGUGCAGGAACCACCAAGGUGUGGACCUUCCGUAAUGUGAGAGACGGUGGUAGACGUUGCAGUUACGUCCCGGACUGCCCCGGGGUGAACACUGGAAACAGAUUCUCAAGUUCGAAUGAAUGCGUCAAAGCAUGCAUACGCUAAUAAUUUCGCAUCGUCACGAGGCUCCGUGCGACAAGCGCGGUCGGCUAAGAAGACUCGAC